GACGAACGCUGGCGGCGUGCUUAACACAUGCAAGUCGAACGGAAAGGCCCUGCUUUUGUGGGGUGCUCGAGUGGCGAACGGGUGAGUAACACGUGAGUAACCUGCCCUUGACUUUGGGAUAACUUCAGGAAACUGGGGCUAAUACCGGAUAGGAGCUCCUGCUGCAUGGUGGGGGUUGGAAAGUUUCGGCGGUUGGGGAUGGACUCGCGGCUUAUCAGCUUGUUGGUGGGGUAGUGGCUUACCAAGGCUUUGACGGGUAGCCGUCCUGAGAGGGUGACCGGCCACAAUGGGACUGAGAUACGGCCCAGACUCCUACGGGUGGCAGCAGUGGGGAAUAUUGCACAAUGGGCGGAAGCCUGAUGCAGCAACGCCGCGUGCGGGAUGACGGCCUUCGGGUUGUAAACCGCUUUCGCCUGUGACGAAGCGUGAGUGACGGUAAUGGGUAAAGAAGCACCGGCUAACUACGUG
rnacentral:rRNA from 1 species